GACGAACGCUGGCGGCGUGCUUAACACAUGCAAGUCACGGGGCCGCAAGGUAACGGCGAACGGUGCGUAACACGUGAGCAACCUACCGAUUUGAGGGGGAGUAGCUGGCCUAACGGCCAGGUAAUACCGCAUACGCUCAUAAGGCCUCCUGGUCUAAUGAGGAAACCUCCGGGGCAGAUCGAGGGGCUCGCGGCCUAUCAGCUAGUUGGCGAGGUCAUGGCUCACCAAGGCGACGACGGGUAGCUGGUCUGAGAGGAUGGCCAGCCACAUUGGGACUGAGAAACGGCCCAGACUCCUACGGGAGGCAGCAGUGGGGAAUCUUGCGCAAUGGCCGAAAGGCUGACGCAGCGACGCCGCGUGUGGGAGGAAGCUCUUCGGGGUGUAAACCACUGUUGCCCGGGACGAACACACAGUUUCGACUGUGCUGACGGGUACCGGUGAGGAAGCACCGGCUAACUCUGUGCCAGCCGCCGCCGUAAC
rnacentral:rRNA from 1 species